rnacentral:lncRNA from 1 species
UUUACAUCCUGUUGGCACCACUGUCGUGUAAAAUGAGAACCAUAGUCCUGUUGUGUCCAAAUUCAUAAGAUAUUUCUUUUAAAGAAGUGAUUAUAAAAUAUAUAAUUAAUUAAUCUUCCUAUUAAAAAAAUCUAAUCAGUUUGUACAGAAACAGUAAUCAGUUUACAGAUUCUACUUUUGCAUUACCUUGUUUAAAUAUAUAAAAUCUUAUAUAUUAAGAACCAUCACAGCUUCCCACAUGAAAUAAAAUAAAAAAUCUACCUCCAAUAAGAUGGCUGAACAAAGUUUCAAGAAAAAUAAAUGAGUUUAAGACACUAUAUGAUUUGCUGAAUAUCAAGAUGGUGGUUGUCGAAAUAAAGGAGGCUAAGCAACCACACAUAUAUAAUAUUUAUUAUGGAUUUAAAAGAAUACAGAUCACAUUCUAGUACCAUAAAAGAGUAAUAUGCAAACCACUAGUUUAUUACCACAAAAGGAAAAAGAACAUUUUAAGAGAACAACAAAAAUGUGAUAAGAGAACAACAGUUUUCCACCAGAUUCAUACCACAAUGAGAUUUUGCAGUUGAUGCAAACCAAAAUCAAUGUGUUUUUCCAAAUAAAAGAAAAACUUCCUUAAUUAAGGAAAUCAAACCCUGAAAUCUAUUAGUGUAUGAGUGAGAAUAUAGAAAAGAAUGUUAGGUGAAAUAUUAGACCCUUUAUAGCUACCAAAUAAACAUCAAAAUCCAACCUACAAACUAAAACAAAUAGCAAGAAAAAAAGCACCAACUGAAACACAAAUAGAUCCAAAGAAAAAAAAAAUACCCAGAAACAUUUUCACAAUGAUAACAACUUUAUGAAUCAAGAUUAUAACUUUAAGCAUACAGAGCUUUGUGUAAUCAAUCUAAGACUCUCACCGGAGAUUCUGAGAAAAUGGGUCUUGUUUGAUUGGUCAGAAAUCUCAAUAUAUAUAUUUAGUUGAAAAAUUGGAGGAAAAGAAUGAAAUGGAGUAUAUAUGUGGAGAGUGUCAACAAUAAAAUAGAGAAAUGAAAAUAAAAUGGGUCGGUUUAGAUUUAGCAGAUAAACACGCCUGUGAAGGAGGAGAGAGGUUUUUUGUCUUUCUUUGUUUCUGUUCUUUCGAUAUGAACGAAAAGGACAGGCAAAAGAAUGAAACGGAUGGAUAGGCGGGUUUUCAAUAAAAACUGAUAGUAGAGAGAGGAAAAGAGGGGAAGAAAUUGAAGGGAUG